GACCUAACCCCGUAAUUAAAACUUGCGGAUAUGGUCGCAGAAAUCCUGUUCAGGGCAUAGACCCCGUUACGUUGGUAUCCCUGAACAGGUCUGCUUCCGAAAGGUUGCAGGGUGUCGCAAGACACC
rnacentral:sRNA from 1 species